CAACCAGCAGACAGACAAAUAAUCAAAGAACUGCCUCCUUAAAAGAAAAGGAGCACAAUGGCAGAGAAAAGGGUGUCACCAGCUCAGUCAGACGCCGUCUGCUGCUGGGAGCCUUUUUCAGACCGAAACGCAGGAAGGUUACAGGAACAGAGGUGAUGCAACGCGACCAAACUGCACCGGUCUGCAGGUCCAGGAGGGACAAAUGAACACCUCCAAACAAGGCGACAUCCAUCCGUGGAGGUCUGACCGGACACAUCCGUCCUGAGGUGUCCAAGCUGCUGCCUGACGAGGCCCGCUUCACACAAACAGAGCAGCCCGAUAUGUUAUUUCUAACAGUGUAUAAAUAUGUAAUUGCCGAAUUCACCGUUAAAUAAAAUGACAAGGUUAAAACACA